rnacentral:rRNA from 1 species
UACGAAGGGGGCUAGCGUUGCUCGGAAUCACUGGGCGUAAAGCGCACGUAGGCGGCUUUUUAAGUCAGGGGUGAAAUCCUGGAGCUCAACUCCAGAACUGCCUUUGAUACUGAAGAUCUUGAGUGCGGGAGAGGUGAGUGGAACUGCGAGUGUAGAGGUGAAAUUCGUAGAUAUUCGCAAGAACACCAGUGGCGAAGGCGGCUCACUGGCCCGAUACUGACGCUGAGGCACGAAAGCGUGGGGAGCAAACAGG